UGGCUCAGUCGCUAGAGCAUGAAACUCUUGAUUUCAGAGUUGUGAGUUCGAACCCAC
rnacentral:tRNA from 1 species